GCUGGGCACAGUGGUGUACGCCUGUAAUCCCAGCAGCUUGGGAGGCUGAGGCAGGAGGAUUGCUAGUUCAAAGCCAGCCUCAGCAAUGGCGAGGCGCUAAGCAACUCAGUGAGACCCUGUCUCUA
rnacentral:sRNA from 1 species